rnacentral:rRNA from 1 species
UUUCCGUAGGUGAACCUGCGGAAGGAUCAUUAUUGUACUUAAGGUCACCAAUUUGAAGACCUCAGAUUGGUGAUCAUCAGUACAUACCUAUAUAGUAGGAGCAAAAGUAUUUAAAACCCCCCACACUUAAAAUUUAAUGUAUAUUUUACUAUAAAAGUAAUUAAAAGAUCACUUUCAACAACGGAUCUCUUGGUUCUCGCAUCGAUGAAGAACGUAGCAAAGUGCGAUAAGUAGUGUGAAUUGCAGAAUCCCGUGGAUCAUCGAAUUUUUGAACGCAAAUUGCACUUUCUGGUAUUCCGGAAAGUAUGCCUGUUUGAGGGUCAGUAAAAUAAAAAAUCGAUUUGUCACCUUAUCGUGACAUUUCGGAAUUGAGCUACCUUAAAUUUUUAGGUUUAAGAGGCUUAAAAUUGAUCACUUUUUGGUAUGAUUUAAACGUGCUAAUAUUACGUUUAAUGAGUAUCGAUGUUUAUUAGGUAUGACCAUGAUCAUGGUUUCGUGCCCAUAAUUUUUUCAUGAAAUGACCUCAAAUCAGGUAGGAUUACCCGCUGAACUUAA